CUUGAAAACCAUUUGCCAUGUCCAGUCAGUCACAUGAAUGUCUAGUGGAUAUUGUCAUUUUGUAGGAAGAUAAAAAAAAUGAGUCUGCUGAAGCAAUAUCUCAAUCCAGCCCCUAAAACUGAUAAAGAAAUAGAGGACUAUCCAGCCCCUCUUGCUGUUGUGGGUGUUAGUGUUCUGAAAGGCAUCAGGUUGAAUGAGAUGUUGAAGGAAAUAAGGGCUGCCUUAAAAAAGUGCGGAGAUUCUAACGAGGCAUUGGAACCAAGUGAGAGACGGUGAGAGCAUACAAGUUGUAAAAGUCUUCAUAACACCUUAGGGCCUCUCACCGUCUCUCACUUGGUUCCAAUGCCAAUUUGGAUCAGCGGAUGAAAGCUCAAUUGUUGGUCUACAGCUACCAAAAACCUAACCCUGCUGGAGACUUGUUUGUACAGUGAGGCGCGUAGUGUAAUCCUUUUUUCAAUCUUUGUAAUUGUCAUAUAGAUUGGAUCCAUAGGAUUUG
rnacentral:misc_RNA from 1 species